GGUAUAAUUUGGAGGAUCGUUUUAUGAAAAUAGCUGUUUGAUGUAUUUCCUAUUUACUACUAUAUCUGUUUCUUAAUGUAAGACGUUUUGGCAGUUUAAAUUGAACGUCUUAUAUUUAGGAACAGAGGGUGUAAUAUCUAGCAUGAAUGUAAAAUGUACCCAUGAUAGGAACCAAGUCCCUACCAGGCCUAGGUCGCUGGUUGUAGGGGUGGAAGAGUGGAUGGCGAGGUGUUGAGCGCGGCCGACGGCGCAAACCAAGUCCCUACCAGGCCUAGGUCGCUGGUUCUAGGGGUGGAAGAGUGGAUGGCGAGGCGUUGAGCGCGGCCGACGGCGGCAGGGCGCCGUGAUCGCGCGAGAGGGAGAGGGAGUUGGGGCGGCUAGGGUUUAGGGCACCGGCUCCUGCUAGGAGCCGAUCAAAUAGAUUGAUUCUGCUUAACCUCAAACGGUGUCCUUUACAUGAGUAUAUAUAAUCUCUAGGCUAGCAAAUAUAAGAUAACUAGGCCAACUUGAUUUAACUGGGCCUUCUCUGGUUAUAAUGUAAACCGGUCAUAACAUCUCUCCCCGCCUGCUCAAACAACUCGCCCUUGAGUUGGAAGUUUGGAAAAUGCUUGCGGAACUCCUCAAGGGUCUCCCAAGUAGCGUCCUCCUCUGGAAGGCCAUGCCAUUGGAUCAAGAGUCGCCACGCACCACGGCUCUGCUGGACCUUCAACACCUUAGCUGGAUCAGGAAGUGGGC
rnacentral:lncRNA from 1 species